GUUAGUGGGUAAUUGCGUAUCAUUUUUAUGGUAUGAGGAAAGUCCAUGCUCGCACUGGCUGUGAUGCCAGUAGUGUUCGCGCUAGCUGAAAAAAUAAGGCUAGGCAGCCAUGUAAAUGGUUGACGGCCAACGAAUGACCUAAAGGAAACCACGGUUUAAUAGUUGUGAAAGUGCCACAGUGACGAACCUUUUUAGAAAUGGAAAGGCUGGAACGCGGUAAACCCCACGAGCGGGCAACCCAAACUUUGGUAGGGGCGCUUGAUCUAACAAAUUGAAGUGAUGAUCGGGGAGAUAUUUUUAAUAUCUGAGAUAGAUGAUUGCCACCAAACAAAGCCUGCCAAGCUCUGUUUGGAACAAAACAUGGCUUACAGCU
rfam:Weissella koreensis KACC 15510, complete genome.